rnacentral:lncRNA from 1 species
ACUCAAUGCCAUUCCAUACAUAUUUCAAUUCCAACACAAGAAACUAACACAAAUCUAUGCAAUCCAGGAUAAAACAGGGCAGAUCACUUCAAAUCAAGGCAGAAUCUUACCCUAAUCAGGCAUCCAAGACCUUUCCUCCACUAGAUCUAGCUUUUAUAGCUCUGAUACCAAUUGUUGCCAUAGGAUCGGAUCUUUCUUUUUUGAUCGUUGAUCAUGAAAGCAGCAGCA